rnacentral:rRNA from 1 species
GAUGAACGCUGACAGAAUGCUUAACUCAUGCAAGUCUACUUGAUCCUUCGGGUGAUGGUGGCGGACGGGUGAGUAACGCGUAAAGAACUUGCCUUGCAGUCUGGGACAACGUCUGGAAACGGACGCUAAUACCGGAUAUUAUGAUUGAAUCGCAUGAUUUGAUUAUGAAAGCUAUAUGCGCUGCGAGAGAGCUUUGCGUCCCAUUAGUUAGUUGGUGAGGUAACGGCUCACCAAGACGAUGAUGGGUAGCCGGCCUGAGAGGGUGAACGGCCACAAGGGGACUGAGACACGGCCCAUACUCCUACGGGAGGCAGCAGUGGGGAAUAUUGGACAAUGGACCAAAAGUCUGAUCCAGCAAUUCUGUGUGCACGAUGAAGUUUUUCGGAAUGUAAAGUGCUUUCAGUUGGGAAGAAGAAAGUGACGGUACCAACAGAAGAAGCGACGGCUAAAUACGUGCCAGCCGCCGCAGUAA